rnacentral:rRNA from 1 species
CACGAACGCUGGCGGCGCGCCUAAUACAUGCAAGUCGAGCGAGAAGACGUAGCAAUACGUUUGUAAAGCGGCGAACGGGUGAGGAAUACAUGGGUAACCUACCCUCGAGUGGGGAAUAACUAGCCGAAAGGUUAGCUAAUACCGCGUACGCUUCUUGGACUUCGGUUCAGGGAGGAAAGCGAUACCGUGGGUAUCGCGCUCUUGGAUGGGCUCAUGUCCUGUCAGCUUGUUGGUGAGGUAACGGCUCACCAAGGCUUCGACGGGUAGCUGGUCUGAGAGGACGAUCAGCCACACUGGCACUGCGACACGGGCCAGACUCCUACGGGAGGCAGCAGUAAGGAAUAUUGCGCAAUGGGCGAAAGCCUGACGCAGCGACGCCGCGUGGGGGAUGAAGGUCUUCGGAUUGUAAACCCCUUUCGGGAGGGAAGAUGGAACGAGCAAUCGUUCGGACGGUACCUCCAGAAGCAGCCACGGCUAACUUCGUGCCAGCAGCCGCGGUAAGAC